UACAGAGGGGGGCAAGCGUUGUUCGGAAUUACUGGGCGUAAAGGGCGCGUAGGCGGCCAACUAAGUCGGACGUGAAAUCCCCGGGCUCAACCCGGGAACUGCGUCCGAUACUGGAUGGCUUGAAUCCGGGAGAGGGAUGUGGAAUUCCAGGUGUAGCGGUGAAAUGCGUAGAUAUCUGGAGGAACACCGGUGGCGAAGGCGGCAUCCUGGACCGGUAUUGACGCUGAGGCGCGAAAGCCAGGGGAGCAAACGGG
rnacentral:rRNA from 1 species